AAGAGAACAGAGUUUCAGCAGAUGCAAGUUGCCUUUAAUCACAAUAAGAACUACAAUCACAAAUACCAGAAACAUAUUUAGCCAAGACAGUAAUUUCAAUCACCAGGUUGUACUUCAAUGGUUUAGCAUGCAUAGAUUAUCAUUUUUAAGACUUGUAGAAAUCGUUACCAAAUCUAACAUGUUCUGGUGAGAUAAUUUAAAGUAAUACUUCAUAGCUUUGGAGAGUAGGAACUCCGAACCUUGAAUUCAGUUUUAAUCCACUGCGACACCCAAAUUUGAGAAAGUUCUUAAUAUUUACCUCAAACAUGACAAGAGCAGGCUCAAUAGCACGUUCAGCCAAUGAAGCAUUAGCAGAAAAUGCUGUUGCACCUUCGUAGUCUCUUAAUACCGUAUUAUCUGUCUCCAUUGCAUCAUCAGAUUUUAAUUCACUCCCAUAUAAGGAAGCGUUUGCAACAGUUCCAUCCGAAGAAUCAUCUUCCACUCUUUGUUUCUUUGCUUCUGAG